GAACCCAGGGACUAUGUAUAUGAGCUGCCAGACACUCCAAGACACUGAACGCUCAGCCUGAGGCACAACGAAACACACUUGUGCAGGGGAAUCCAUGCCACAUGCCACUCUCCAGCCUGCUCUGGCUCUUCCUGGCCUCCGUCUUCUCUGGAUCCGGUGUGGCCCAGAAAGUUACUCAAGACCAGCCAGUUGUACCCAGUCAAGUUGGGGAGUCAGUCACCUUAAAUUGUCGGUAUGAAACAUCUCAGAGCGCUUACUACCUUUUUUGGUAUAAACAGCCUCCCAAUGGAGAGAUGAUUUACCUUAAUCUUUGGGAUUCUUCUAGACAAAAUACAAAGGAUGGCCGCUACUCCAUAAACUUCCAGAAAGCACAAAAUCUCAUCAGCCUCACCAUUUCAGCCUUACAGCUGAACGAUUCUGCAAUGUACUGCUGUGCUCUCUGGGAGCUCACAGUGCCUGAAGCAAUAGGAGAGGCUGAACAAAACCCCAGAGCUCAAUAAUAGAGAGCCCCUCUGCUAUAGGACUCAAGCUGAACUCCACACCUGCAGACCCCAAACAAGAAAUAGUCAUGUUGUGGUUGCUUCAUCUGUGGUUUGGAUCAAACAUUUAAUUCUAAGUAAAAUCUCUUUCUAUCUCAUUUUGAAAUAGGUGUUCAGGGUAACUUUCCACUAUUACAAUCUCUUCUUCAAUUUUUUAUUUUAAAACUUUCAUACAGAAUACAUGUAAAGGUGUCUAAAAUUGAAAGUUUGCCUCGAAACAAUUUAAAGUGGCAUUUUCACCUACAGAUGCUCACAUCACCAACCUGGACUAGUUAUCUAGAAUUGUCAUGAAAAUCAUUUCCUUAGGUCUUUCUUCAGAGACUUUGUGUCCCUUAGGGUACAAUUAGAGAAGCAGAACCACAUGUGAUAUAGAAUAAGAGACACCAUGAGGAACAGAACUCAUGUAAACGCUAGAGCUGGUGUAGGAGCCUAUGCAAAGCUGCUCUCUUUCUAUCUGGUAGUAAGCCUAAAAUUACUAUCAGCCAGCUGGGGUAACAUUUGUAGAGGAAAAUUGGAUGUGAACAAAAACAUGGACAAACUGUGACUCAUCAGGACAUACUAGAACCAUGAAGACAAUUGAAACUCACAAAGACAUGCUAAAACUUGUCUGUCUCUCAACUCCUUCAGUCAUACAGUAGUGGGUGAUCUUCGGGGGAAGUCAGUGGCAUUUGCCAUCACGCUACACGCAUACUUGGUCCAAGAUAGAAGAUAAGGGAGAGAUCUGCUGGGAAGUGGAGUAGUUGACUCAUCAGUAGGAUGAGCUAGCUGAUCAGCAGCCACAUGUAUGAGCUGCUAUAGUCCGUGCAGCCCUGCACAGAGCAGCAGAACAUAAAAAGUAUGGCAGCUUCAUUAUAACCACCUUCAAAA